rnacentral:rRNA from 1 species
UCGGGAUACUCCGGGAAACCGGGGCUAAUACCGGAUAUGAGCCGUCCUCGCAUGGGGGUGGUUGGAAAGUUUUUCGGUCAGGGAUGGGCUCGCGGCCUAUCAGCUUGUUGGUGGGGUGAUGGCCUACCAAGGCGACGACGGGUAGCCGGCCUGAGAGGGCGACCGGCCACACUGGGACUGAGACACGGCCCANACUCCUACGGGAGGCAGCAGUGGGGAAUAUUGCACAAUGGGCGAAAGCCUGAUGCAGCGACGCCGCGUGAGGGAUGAAGGCCUUCGGGUUGUAAACCUCUUUCAGCAGGGAAGAAGCGCAAGUGACGGUACCUGCAGAAGAAGCGCCGGCUAACUACGUGCCAGCAGCCGCGGUAAUACGUAGGGCGCAAGCGUUGUCCGGAAUUAUUGGGCGUAAAGAGCUCGUAGGCGGUUUGUCGCGUCUGGUGUGAAAACUCGAGGCUCAACCUCGAGCUUGCAUCGGGUACGGGCAGACUAGAGUGCGGUAGGGGAGACUGGAAUUCCUGGUGUAGCGGUGGAAUGCGCAGAUAUCAGGAGGAACACCGAUGGCGAAGGCAGGUCUCUGGGCCGCAACUGACGCUGAGGAGCGAAAGCAUGGGGAGCGAACAGGAUUAGAUACCCUGGUAGUCCAUGCCGUAAACGUUGGGCACUAGGUGUGGGGCUCAUUCCACGAGUUCCGUGCCGCAGCAAACGCAUUAAGUGCCCCGCCUGGGGAGUACGGCCGCAAGGCUAAAACUCAAAGGAAUUGACGGGGGCCCGCACAAGCGGCGGAGCAUGCGGAUUAAUUCGAUGCAACGCGAAGAACCUUACCAAGGCUUGACAUGCACGAGAAGCCACCAGAGAUGGUGGUCUCUUUGGACACUCGUGCACAGGUGGUGCAUGGUUGUCGUCAGCUCGUGUCGUGAGAUGUUGGGUUAAGUCCCGCAACGAGCGCAACCCUCGUCCCAUGUUGCCAGCGGGUAAUGCCGGGGACUCAUGGGAGACUGCCGGGGUCAACUCGGAGGAAGGUGGGGAUGACGUCAAAUCAUCAUGCCCCUUAUGUCUUGGGCUUCACGCAUGCUACAAUGGCCGGUACAAAGGGCUGCGAUACCGUAAGGUGGAGCGAAUCCCAAAAAGCCGGUCUCAGUUCGGAUUGGGGUCUGCAACUCGACCCCAUGAAGUCGGAGUCGCUAGUAAUCGCAGAUCAGCAACGCUGCG